AGAGUUUGAUCAUGGCUCAGGAUGAACGCUAGCGACAGGCCUAACACAUGCAAGUCGAGGGGCAUCGGGACGUAGCAAUACGUUGCCGGCGACCGGCGGAUGGGUGAGUAACGCGUAUGCAACCUACCCGUAGCAGGGGGAUAGCCCGUUGAAAGACGGAUUAAUACCCCGUAACACAGGGGCUCCGCAUGGAGAUUAUUGUUAAAGGGUCAUUUCUUUUUCAGGGAUGGUCCGGCUGCGGAUGGGCAUGCGUUCCAUUAGGUAGUUGGUGUAGGUAACGGCUCACCAAGCCGACGAUGGAUAGGGGAACUGAGAGGUUGGUCCCCCACACUGGUACUGAGACACGGACCAGACUCCUACGGGAGGCAGCAGUGAGGAAUCUUGGUCAAUGGACGCAAGUCUGAACCAGCCAUGUCGCGUGAAGGAGGACGGCCCUAAGGGUUGUAAACUUCUUUUGCAGUGGAAUAAAGUUUGCCACGUGUUGGCGAUUUGCAAGUACGCUGCGAAUAAGGAUCGGCUAACUCCGUGCCAGCAGCCGCGGUAAUACGGAGGAUCCAGGCGUUAUCCGGAUUUAUUGGGUUUAAAGGGUGCGCAGGCGGGGAAUUAGGUCGGCGGUGAAAUUUCGGGGCUCAACCUCGACAGUGCCGUUGAAACCGUUUCUCUUGAGUGCGGAUGAGGUAGGCGGAAUUUGUGGUGUAGCGGUGAAAUGCGUAGAUAUCACAAGGAACACCGAUUGCGGAGGCAGCUUACUAAACCGUUACUGACGCUCAUGCACGAAGGCGUGGGGAUCAAACAGGAUUAGAUACCCUGGUAGUCCACGCAGUAAACGAUGAUUACUUGCUGUUUGCGAUACACAGUAAGCGGCGAAGCGAAAGCGUUAAGUAAUCCACCUGGGGAGUACGUUCGCA
rnacentral:rRNA from 1 species